AUUGAACGCUGGCGGCAGGCCUAACACAUGCAAGUCGAGCGGAUGAAGGGAGCUUGCUCCUGGAUUCAGCGGCGGACGGGUGAGUAAUGCCUAGGAAUCUGCCUGGUAGUGGGGGAUAACGUCCGGAAACGGGCGCUAAUACCGCAUACGUCCUGAGGGAGAAAGUGGGGGAUCUUCGGACCUCACGCUAUCAGAUGAGCCUAGGUCGGAUUAGCUAGUUGGUGGGGUAAAGGCCUACCAAGGCGACGAUCCGUAACUGGUCUGAGAGGAUGAUCAGUCACACUGGAACUGAGACAAGGUCCAGACUCCUAAGGGAGGCAGCAGUGGGGAAUAUUGGACAAUGGGCGAAAGCCUGAUCAAGCAAUGCCGCGUGUGUGAAGAAGGUCUUCGGAUUGUAAAGCACUUUAAGUUGGGAGGAAGGGCAGUAAGUUAAUACCUGGCUGUUUUGACGUUACCAACAGAAUAAGCACCGGCUAACUUCGUG
rnacentral:rRNA from 1 species